rnacentral:rRNA from 1 species
UACGAAGGGGGCUAGCGUUGCUCGGAAUGACUGGGCGUAAAGGGCGCGUAGGCGGUUUAGACAGUCGGAUGUGAAAUUCCUGGGCUCAACCUGGGGGCUGCAUCCGAGACGUUUUGGACUGGAGUGGGGAAGAGGGUCGUGGAAUUCCCAGUGUAGAGGUGAAAUUCGUAGAUAUUGGGAAGAACACCGGUGGCGAAGGGCGGGCGAACCUGGUCCUUGACUGACGGCUGAGGCGCGAAAGCGUUGGGG